rnacentral:lncRNA from 1 species
AUAUCUCAGUGUGCAUUUCUCUGAGUUCGUCUUAUUUAGAAUCCAUUAGGAUCCCUGAAUCUGGAUGGCUGUUUACUUCCCCAGAUUUGGGAAGUUUUCAGUCAGUAUUUCUUUGAAUAAACAUUCUGCCCCCUUCUCUCUUUUCUUCUGAGAGUCCCAUAAUACUAUAUUGGUCCACUUGAUGAAAUCCCACAAGUCUCUUAAGCUUUCUUCACUCUCUCACUUUUUUUUUUCCUCUCCUCUGACUAGGUAAUUUCCAAUGAGCUGUCUUCAAUACUGCUGAUUCUUUUUACUGCUUCAUCUAAUCUGCUACUGCCAAAACCCUCUAGUAUAUAUCUUUUUUCUUUUUUGUCUUUUUAGAGCCGCAUGUGCACCAUAUGGAAGUUCAUAGGCUAGGGUCAAAUUGGAGCUGCAGCUGAUGGCCUACAUCACAGCUCAUGGCAAUGCCUCAUCCUUAACUCACUGAGUGGGGUCAGAGAUUGAACCCAUGUCCUCAUGGAUAUUAGUUGGGUUCAUUACUACUGUGCCACAAUGUGAACUCCUCUAGAGUAUUUUUCAUUUCAAUUACUGUACACUUCAGCUCCUUAAUUUCUAGCUGAAAAAAGAAACAAUUAAAACCUUUAUUAAAAGCCUCAUUUUGUUCACACAUUGUUCUCUUAACCUCACCGAGCAUCUUUAUGACUGCUAUUUUAAAUUCCCUGUCAAAUAAAUUAUAUAUCUCCAUUUCAUUGGGGUCAGUUUCAGAUUUAUCUUGUACCUUUCUUUGGGGCUGAUUUCCCUGUUUCUUCAUUUUUCUUGACUCUGUGCACUGGGCAAAAUUACCACCUCUCCCAAUAUUCAUUGACCUAGCUUAUAAAAAAGAAGACCCUCACCAAUCAGCCUGUUCAGAGAUUACAGAGGUCUCUCACACUAUCGUGCUAGCCAAACCACCAUCUUUGUUCUUAGUGGCCCCCCCCAAAUGUCUAGAAUAUGCUGGGUCCUAUUUAUGCCCUAAGACAGAAGCCAGUCCUUUGGGCAGCCCUUAGGAAAUCUGGAACACUGGCUACAAAGUCCAACUCUACUACCACCACCUCCCUGCCCACUGCCCCAGUAGAAGCUGGAAUCUGAGGUUUUUUGAACAGCUCACUCUGCACUGGGCUGGGAGAAGGGACUGUGCUGAGUGCUAGUCCAAACUGCCACCUUUGUUCUCAAAACUCCCAGGUGUUCCAUAAACCCUUUGAGAAUGCUAAAAAGGAAGACAGUGGCUUGGGCCAUGCCCAGAAAAAAAAAAUCACAACAUCAGACAUACAUGUGAUCCAAUUCUUUCCUCCCCUUCCCAGAGAGAAGUUGGAAGCUGGGGGUUUCCUCCCAAUCAUACAGCACUUUGCCAAGGGUAGUGAUUAUGGCAAAAGGGUAUCUUGAAUUUUCCUACCAGCUCUGAUGUGGCUGAUUUCACACAUCUGGGGUGCAAGCCUCUCAACUAGUUUCUAAAUUUCUCACCAAGAAAACUGUUCUGUGUAUGGCUGACUUGGUGAGUCUGUUGAAGAAAGGAGGGUCCAGGGCUUGCUAUUCCACCAUCUUGCCAACAUCAUGCUUUUUCAAUACAUUCUUUAGAUGGUGUAUUUGAUAAAAGCCAGUGUAUAAAAUUAACUGCCUCCCAUCUUUCAUUCUUAACCUAAACCACUAAAUGUAAAUUUCAAGAAGGAUUUUUAAAUUUAGCAUAUUUUAUUAUUUACGUAUACUGACUGUUCUAUAUAGUGAUCCACCAAUGAUCUACAUGUCCAGGGAUAACAAAGAGAAAUUUAAUUUUUUUUUCUUUUUACAGCUGCACCUGUGGCAUAUGGAAGUUCCUAGCCUAGGGGUUGAAUUGGAGCUGCAGCUGCCGGCAUACACCACAGCCACAGCAACACCAGAUCCAAAGCGCAUCUGCUACCUACACUACAGCCUACUUCAAUGCCAGAUCAUUAACCCACUGAGCAAGGCCAGAGAUGGAAUUGACAUCCUCAUGGAGACUACACUGGGUUCUUAACCCACUACGCCAUAACAGAACUCCAGUAAUUUAAUUUUUAAACAUCUUAAUUGUCAUUCUCACUCAACCAAAAUAACACAACAAAGUAGUUUCACCUGUUUCUGCUAACAAAAUCUAUUUUCCCCUACGAAGAGCCUAACAGAUUACCCAGAAGACACACAAAGUCAGAAGAAGUUUAAACUAUUAAUAGUAGUAUAAAGAGAGCCAUAGAGGGUGGGAAGCCAUCUCCUGACUUCCUUUCCCAUGUUUCCAUUAUGUUCCUUAAUUGUUAUUCACAUCCUUCUUGCCUAUUUUAGCAAGAACCAUUCCUAUAUAUGGCUUAAAAUAAAGAUGAUCGAACUUCCCUUUUACAGUACUUUUUAAGUACGUGCAACUAAAAAGUCAUGGGAAAAUCUAAUAGAGAGGGAGGGAAGAGAAUCACUUUUUCCACUGGUAUAGAGUAAAUCUAAUUUCAAAGCUAUUUUUCCACAAUCAACUAGACAGAAGCUCCACUCCAUAGGUUCUGUGACCUAUUUACAGUUCACUUGUCACUGAGGAGCUUCAGAAUAAAAACGGUCUACUGAGUUGUUAUUCUCUUGAGUUUGUGUAUUAACUAAAAAUAAUAAUCAAUAAUUUGAGUACAAGAGCUCGUGUGAGAGAGAGUUCCAUGUCCUUCCCUUAUUGUGUUAUUAGCACAAUGGCUUUCAAGCCUUUCCAGGGAAGUUAAGACCUACAGAGUUCCUAGAAUUACUACCUUAAAGGACUAGGUGCAGGCUUGUUGGAGGAGAUGAGAGCAGUACUAGGGGUGGGGGGGGGAGUCAAAGUCAAUUAAAAACUCCUUGCAAAUAAUAACCGUCACUCUUUUUAUUUUGGCUUUGUUAAGUCUGACUUUUUUCCUGUCAAAGAGUGGGCCUCAUCUACGAGGGAGUCAUUACCUGUAUGUCUCUUAACAAUAAAUUGCUUCUCAUUUAUGAAACUAUGGGGGCAGCAUCACGUUUUUAGCUGAGAAAGCAAAGAUUUACAUUGUUGUUUAAAGUUUCCUUCAUAAACCAUUUCCUAUCUUAUAGUAUAAGACAGAGAAAAACCUUAGAAUGAACACCCAUCUUCUCUGAUGCAACAGGUGUACUCCUGCCCCAGACAAAUUAUUUACUUCCAUCUGAAAAGAACCUUCUUCAGAGUAAAGAGGCAGUGUGAUAACAGCCCUGUGUUUAUGGAAUGAAAUCCCAUAUUUUGAAGAGAUUUAUAUUGAAGUAAAGUAGGGGUGAAAGCACAUGCUAUCUGGGAUUUGCCUUAAAUAAAGCAAAAAAAAAAAAAAGAAUAAAGGGAUAAAACAGCAAAUGUGGUAAAAUAUCUAUGUUCUUUAUUUUUAAUGUGUUACUAAUUUUUUAUAAUCAAAGUUUUAAAUAUAAUGAAAAACACUACAGAAUCAUUUAUUACUUGGAAUACUUUUGGGGAUAACCUCAAUAUGCUUGGGGAUAACAAAAAGACUUGCUAACGCAAAUCUACCUGAAUUCUAUGCUGGUACUUCAAUCAUAACCUUACAUUUCAAAAUUAAAUGAAUAAUUAUUCUUUUCAACCAACUAAUGUGUUAAAGCUUUAAGUGUAUAUUAGUAUCUAUAAUAGUUCCUCUUUUAUGAAUUAAUAUCUCUGAAAAGAUGUUGUAUAGUAAUGAUUUAAAUCUUAUUUUUAAAAUUACUUGAACUAAAUUAAUUAAUCCUACACUGAAAUAUCUCCCUUAUCGAUCCUGCUACUUCACUCCAAUCCUGACUACUCCAAAUGAGAAGGAAAGGUCAUAUUUCUUGCAAAGUGUACAUGUAACAGCUUUCAUUUCGUAUAUGACAGAUGCACAAAGGGUACUUUCAGCGAUUUUUCUUGUUGUUGUCCACAUCAUGGCAUCAACAGCACUUAAAGUUGUUGUGCAGAUGCUGGUGGAUCACUGAUCACAUAAGCAGACACCAGACAGUGAAUCAGGAGGCACCACAGUUUAUGAAAAACCUCCGUUCAGUUGAUGAGAGGCAGCUUGGGACUUAGUGUUUGUAUCCAAAAGUAAAAAGAAUAAACCUUCUCUGUUCCUACAUAAAAAACAACAAAACACAUCAGGAUGGGGGGAGAAGAUUUCACCCACUCGCAUCUGUGCCAAGAACUAAAGGCUUAUCUUGAGGCUGUUUAAGAUGUACCAGCCCUACACUCUCUCUAGUUUAUCUGAAAUCAUGAUUUAAGGUGCCUAGAAAACAUCAGGUCUACUGUAAGUAUUUCAGACCUCCUUUAAAAAAAGUUUUAGUAUUUAUAAACAAAAAUUACCUCUACUCAUGCAAAACUAAAGUCUGGACAUUUAGCCAAAACAUGUAUUACAUGCAGAACUCCCAUUUCACACCAAACUGCCUUCUAAACAAGGGUAAUUUCUACCGAAUACAUUCUUUUAAGUAGGAAGGAUUCCUUUACGUGGAUAUUUAAAGUAUAAUUAUGAUUACAAAACAUCAGUUCACAUUUUAACAUCUAGCAUAUAAAGUGACGUACACCUGUAUUUCAUUAGGACUAUCAACAUCAGUAGCAAACACUCAACUAUUUCAGCUAUGUGACAAAUGCUUUUUUCCUCAUAGAACAUUCCAAAGGGGAAACCACUGGUUAUUUACUAUAAUCGAAAGUCAAACAUAAUUUGUGUCUACUGAAAUAACAGGUUUCACUUGUAAGACUGUAUCUAUAAAUCCUUGGAGUAGAAAAUCUGUUUCUAUAGCUUUCCUUUUCUCUCUUCUAUUGUAGAGGACUCUUCUCCUGUUUUCUAAGUUCAUCAUCACUACCCUACAGCCUCUGCUGUAUAAUUUAAUCAUAGUUUAUAUCUGUCAUUGCCUGGCUAACCUCUAUAGAGUCAUUAUCAGUACUUCCAGAUUUUAUGAAGAAAAAGUAUUCAUUUGCCUCCACGAUUUUUUUUUUUUCAAUACUGACUUGUGCCCUCAUUAAAAGAAAUGAGCCUCAAAGUCCUUCUUGUGGCUACAGACUGCCUGAACGUAAUUCCAGGUGUUCAUCACGAAUUUGUUUGGAGUGAUGUCACCAAGGCGGUGACACAGUCCUUCCUGACUUCGCUCUCCUGCACAAGAACAACCAACAGCUAUUCAGAAACACAACGGCACUGCGAGACUCCUAGAGCACAGUGAGGCUGAGCACCCAUGUACCAGAGACCGGUGCCUGCGACUGGUAUCAGUGAGGCACAGCUCACUUACGACUCUAGUGUAAAAGGGAAAAAAAAAUGAGUACGUUGUCACAGGCACCCUGGGUAAAGAGGAGAAUUUCAGAAUAUUAACAGUGAAAAGUCUGUUGGCUCGGGAUUAAAAAAAGCCCUCCUGAUACUGUGAAGAAAAGACAGAAGAGAGGGAAAGAGAGGGGCCAGAUGUGACAUAGGAGGGAAGGAGGAAAAAAGUUUUAGGGCAGGUGGUCUGUGAAGCUGUCUUCAGGCAGCUCCACAGGGACACCAUAUGAGGAAACGGAAACACAUCAUUUUGCAGAGGCUUUCAUCCGGCAAUCACAUGGAUUUUCUUGGCAGGACGUCGUAAUAUCUAAUAACUGUCACUGAGUUGAAUUUUCUAUACCAUGGAUCAGGAUUAAACUGGCAACGAUUCAUAUUCAAAACCAGCUUUUGGAUUUGAGUAGGAAGAGGAAUUUGGCUAUUUGGAUCAUCAUUCAAACUGCUUUCUAAGGGAGGGAUAACCACACAGCCUAAAAAUUAAAAAACAAACAAACAAACAAAGCUUAAGCAGCCUUAAGCAAUGAAAGAGUCUACACCAGUAUCAGCAGAUACGAAGAGCCAAAAAAUUAUAGACUUUUCCGUAUAGAAGAGUUACAGGUAAAACACUAAUGCUGGGUCCUGCCAGGGCUGGAUGUGUGGGGUAAACCAAGAACUCCUCUCGUGUCUCUGUGGCACCCGAGGAUGGGAAGAAGCUGGCAAUUCCUCAGGUGAGGCCAAGGACUUGAUCAUCUCUGGGUGCAGAGGCGGCGAAGCUGGCCCUACGCGAGGACGCCUGUUCCCACACUCCUGGCACGACUGCACUGCUGCCGCUACAGGGAACAGCGAGGCAUGGCUCCUGCCCUCACGUCUGCUGAGGACAAAACAUGCAACCAACGUGCCAACACGAUGUGGACGAUGUCACACAAAGUGCUCUUGGUAUACAGGAGGUGCUCCAGAGCUGCAGAGUCCAAUCAACUCUGCACAAAGGAAGGGCCAUCUGAGUUGACUUCAAGGAUGAGUCCAAACUGAUCAGACGGACAACGGGCAAAGCAGAAAGAACAGCGUGUGCAAAGGUAGGAAAGCCUUGUGAGCUUAGGAGACCUCACCAGUCCACUACGGCGAGUGUGCAGGCGAGAGGGGUGCAGAGAGAAGCCAGGAAGGUAUGAGGAUGCACUGGACACCAUCCUAAAGCCCAGUCAAUUGAGAGUAAUGAGCAUGAAGCUCACACACAGAACUGGACAGGGGGAUCAGCGGUCAGAGACAUCAACCCUUGGAGGCUGGACAGCAGAUGGGCACACGGUAAGUGACAGAGUAGUCCAGGGCCACCUGAAGCCCAAACCGACAGCUGGGAAUGCAAGGUGGGCUGAUUUAUGUCACCUUCCCUUGGUGGAGAUGAGGGCGGGGGGAGACAGGAGGACUGGCAGAAAGUCUCGCAAGAACGGCUAGCCCUCCGCCUCUCCUCUCUCACCCAGGCAGGUGCACAUCUUCCUCUCUGAAUGGGCUGGACAGGAGGCCCACCCCACACGGCUCAGGGGCCCAGGGGGAAAAACCAAAAGCUGAAUGAUAAACGAGAGGCCACUUCAGUCACCAGUAAGGCCCACGGGCAUCCAGCCUCCAACACUGCCACGGCUGAGGAGAAAACUGUUGAGAGACAGCCUCUGAUGCCAGGGUGGGUUUUCCAAGUAGAAGGAGUCUCCUGACCAGUCCACAGUUAAGCCCUUCGGUCAACAGCACCCCCACCCCCC